rnacentral:rRNA from 1 species
AUGAACGCUGGCGGCGUGCCUAAUACAUGCAAGUCGGGCGAACAGACGAGGAGCUUGCUCCUCUGACGUUAGCGGCGGACGGGUGAGUAACACGUGGAUAACCUACCUAUAAGACUGGGAUAACUUCGGGAAACCGGAGCUAAUACCGGAUAAUAUAUUGAACCGCAUGGUUCAAUAGUGAAAGACGGUUUUGCUGUCACUUAUAGAUGGAUCCGCGCCGCAUUAGCUAGUUGGUAAGGUAACGGCUUACCAAGGCGACGAUGCGUAGCCGACCUGAGAGGGUGAUCGGCCACACUGGAACUGAGACACGGUCCAGACUCCUACGGGAGGCAGCAGUAGGGAAUCUUCCGCAAUGGGCGAAAGCCUGACGGAGCAACGCCGCGUGAGUGAUGAAGGUCUUCGGAUCGUAAAACUCUGUUAUUAGGGAAGAACAAAUGUGUAAGUAACUAUGCACGUCUUGACGGUACCUAAUCAGAAAGCCACGGCUAACUACGUG